UACGUAGGGUGCAAGCGUUGUCCGGAAUUAUUGGGCGUAAAGAGCUCGUAGGCGGUCUGUCGCGUCUGCUGUGAAAACUCGGGGCUUAACCCCGGGCCUGCAGUGGGUACGGGCAGACUAGAGUACUGCAGGGGAGACUGGAAUUCCUGGUGUAGCGGUGGAAUGCGCAGAUAUCAGGAGGAACACCGGUGGCGAAGGCGGCCAUCUGGACGACAACUGACGCUGGAGGCGACGAAAGACGUGGG
rnacentral:rRNA from 1 species